AUUAAAUUCGUUUUUCAUUUGUGGACAAUUUAGCUUUUUCUCAAACUUAUUAAUAUUUGAAGCUAUUAAUACGAUUACUAAUAUUCAGUAUAAUGAAAAAAUAUAUAUAAAAAAAACUGGAAAGUGAUUUUUAUGGAUCUUUUAAAAUAUAAUUGCAUAGUUAGACGUAAGAAACCAGUUACCUUGGAACAACUAUAAUUACAAGACAUACAAAGAAGCAGAGCAGCAAAGCAUCACUACAAUUUUAAAGAAAAAUAUAUUUUGGUAAGUCGUUUGGUUAAACUAAAGUUGUCAUUUAGGAAAUUGGUAAACUAAGACAACGACUUAAUGUAAAAAAAAACUGAACAUAGGUUCAAAAUCCAUCCAUCGUUCCCGGACGUAUGAAAAGGAGGACAAGUCAGGGCAACCUUAGGUUUAUAGAAUAAAAUUAUGUAUUAAAUGAAAAUUAACUAUUCAUUCCAUUAAAAUAUCUUUAGAUGAAACAUUUAAAUUUUACUUAAAGAACUACAGUUUUGGUGCAAUAUAGAGAAGGUUGUAUUCCAAACGUCCAAGAAAUUGGAGGUAUUGCCGUGAUGGAGUUCUACGUUGAUCUUGGGUGCAGCUCGAAGAUGAUUACAAAAUAUUUAAAGUAUAGAUCGAGUGGUUUAGUUUAUUAAAUAUGUGUUUCAGUUAUGGCAAAGCUUUUGAGCUCAA